UUUGAUCUAAAAACAUUUAUUAAACUCUUUACUUUGGAAUGCUGCAAAUAUUCAGCAAAAUGUUGAACAGCAAUUACCAGUUACACAAGUGCAAAUUUUUUUUUUUAAAACUAUGACAAUACUGUUGCAUGGUGAUAUAAAAAGAUACUUAGGCAAACAUUUACCAAACUAUAAAAAGUCUGUCACCAAUUAAUAUAUGUAGUACAUUUAAUAACAAAUGUUAAUAACUCAUGAAAUAACGAGUAACCAAUGAAAAUAAUGUAAUUGGUUUGAAUUCAUAAAUUACUAGUAGUUGUUUGUAAUGAAGUCUAUUAAAAAAAUCAGCUGUAAAUAGUUAGGAGCAAAUAUUAAGGGUCAAUUCUAAGGAAAAAUGAGGAGCCAAUGGCCCAUGGCCAGCUUACAGCAAAUAAUGCUUCACCCUGGCAGAGCCUGAGAUGCUGCUGAUAAUACCAAACUGCAUCGGCAACUGCUGUUUCCCUGGACAUAUCAACUGCACGGAGGGGGGG